AGUGAACGCUGGCGGUAGGCCUAACACAUGCAAGUCGAACGGCAGCACAGAGGAGCUUGCUCCUUGGGUGGCGAGUGGCGGAUGGGUGAGGAAUACAUCGGAAUCUACUCUGUCGUGGGGGAUAACGUAGGGAAACUUACGCUAAUACCGCAUACGACCUACGGGUGAAAGCAGGGGAUCUUCGGACCUUGCGCGAUUGAAUGAGCCGAUGUCGGAUUAGCUAGUUGGCGGGGUAAAGGCCCACCAAGGCGACGAUCCGUAGCUGGUCUGAGAGGAUGAUCAGCCACACUGGAACUGAGACACGGUCCAGACUCCUACGGGAGGCAGCAGUGGGGAAUAUUGGACAAUGGGCGCAAGCCUGAUCCAGCCAUACCGCGUGGGUGAAGAAGGCCUUCGGGUUGUAAAGCCCUUUUGUUGGGAAAGAAGUCCAGCCGGCUAAUACCUGGUUGGGAUGACGGUACCCAAAGAAUAAGCACCGGCUAACUUCGUGCCAGCAGCCGCGGUAAUACGAAGGGUGCAAGCGUUACUCGGAAUUACUGGGCGUAAAGCGUGCGUAGGUGGUUAUUUAAGUCCGUUGUGAAAGCCCUGGGCUCAACCUGGGAACUGCAGUGGAUACUGGAUGACUAGAAUGUGGUAGAGGGUAGCGGAAUUCCUGGUGUAGCAGUGAAAUGCGUAGAGAUCAGGAGGAACAUCCAUGGCGAAGGCAGCCACCUGGACCAACAUUGACACUGAGGCACGAAAGCGUGGGGAGCAAACAGG
rnacentral:rRNA from 1 species